AUAAGUCGAGAACCUAAGAGAAGGUAUAUUAUCACCCAUUUGAGAAUUAUAAGCAAACCAUAUUCCUAAAAGUAGUUUCUUAAACAAAGUGAAAUGAUAUCCUUGAACCUUCGAGAAGAGAAUAACAAGUAUUAUUAGAGAACAACAACCAGUAGUGGGACAACUAUCUGGACAUGUUUCCCAUUUCUAAGUUGAAGUAAAUGAUUAGAUAUAACUCAAGAUCUUACCUAACUUGGCCUCCUAUUUUCCUCAGAUAUCCUGAGUAGAUACAAACAAAUGAAUAAGGUAAAAUAGGAGAGACCACCCUAGAAACUAAAUAACUAGUCAUGCCCUCUAGAAGUGAUCAUUUGAAAUCUUUGGGAG
rnacentral:lncRNA from 1 species